UACGGAAGGCAGCAGUGGGGAAUAUUGCACAAUGGGCGCAAGCCUGAUGCAGCCAUGCCGCGUGUAUGAAGAAGGCCUUCGGGUUGUAAAGUACUUUCAGCGGGGAGGAAGGCGAUGUGGUUAAUAACCGCGUCGAUUGACGUUACCCGCAGAAGAAGCACCGGCUAACUCCGUGCCAGCAGCCGCGGUAAUACGGAGGGUGCAAGCGUUAAUCGGAAUUACUGGGCGUAAAGCGCACGCAGGCGGUCUGUUAAGUCAGAUGUGAAAUCCCCGGGCUUAACCUGGGAACUGCAUUUUGAAACUGGCAGGCUUGAGUCUCGUAGAGGGGGUGAAUUCCAGGUGUAGCGGUGAAAUGCGUAGAGAUCUGGAGGAAUACCGGUGGCGAAGGCGGCCCCUGGGACGAAGACUGACGCUCAGGUGCGAAAGCGUGGGGAGCAAACAGGAUUAGAUACC
rnacentral:rRNA from 1 species